GACGAACGCUGGCGGCGUGCUUAACACAUGCAAGUCGAACGGAAAGGCCCUGCUUUUGUGGGGUGCUCGAGUGGCGAACGGGUGAGUAACACGUGAGUAACCUGCCCUUGACUUUGGGAUGACUUCAGGAAACUGGGGCUAAUACCGGAUAGGAGCUCCUGCUGCAUGGUGGGGGUUGGAAAGUUUCGGCGGUUGGGGAUGGACUCGCGGCUUAUCAGCUUGUUGGUGGGGUAGUGGCUUACCAAGGCUUUGACGGGUAGCCGGCCUGAGAGGGUGACCGGCCACAUUGGGACUGAGAUACGGCCCAGACUCCUACGGGAGGCAGCAGUGGGGAAUAUUGCACAAUGGGCGGGAGCCUGAUGCAGCAACGCCGCGUGCGGGAUGACGGCCUUCAGGUUGUAAACCGCUUUCGCCUGUGACGAAGCGUGAGUGACGGUAAUGGGUAAAGAAGCACCGGCUAACUACGUG
rnacentral:rRNA from 1 species